rnacentral:rRNA from 1 species
CCUACGGGUGGCAGCAGUGAGGAAUAUUGGUCAAUGGCCGAGAGGCUGAACCAGCCAAGUCGCGUGAGGGAAGACGGCUCUAUGGGUUGUAAACUUCUUUUGUCGGGGAGUAAAGCUAUCCACGUGUGGCUCUUUGAGUGUACCCGAUGAAUAAGCAUCGGCUAACUCCGUGCCAGCAGCCGCGGUAAUACGGAGGAUGCGAGCGUUAUCCGGAUUUAUUGGGUUUAAAGGGUGCGUAGGUGGAGGUGAAAGUCAGCGGUAAAAUUUUGGGGCUCAACCACAAACUGCCGUUGAAACUGCAUGCCUUGAGUGCGCUAGAGGUAGGCGGAAUGCGUGGUGUAGCGGUGAAAUGCAUAGAUAUCACGCAGAACUCCGAUUGCGAAGGCAGCUUAC